rnacentral:misc_RNA from 1 species
UGAAACCAAAAUUUAGCUUAAAAGUAGCAGCGAAUGCAAACUCUGUAAUUAAAAAGCCAAGAAAUAAAUCUGAAGCAGCUAUAAAAGCAAUUUAACCGAGAUGAAACAAACAAACAAAUAAACAAACAAAUAAACAAAGAAACAAACAAAUAAACAAACAAACAAAUAAACAAAGCUGUACAGUGGUGGAAAUUAAUGGAAAACGAGGAUAUUCUGCAUUAUCAACAGGUUAGUUUCCAUUAAUAAAAAGCAAAAUUGUGAUUGAUAAGCGAUUAGAUAAUCUAGUUCUUACAGGAAAUGAAAAAAAACAAUGUAAUGAUACUAACCACUGAAGAAGAAGAUAUUAUUGUUGAGUAUGUGGGCUGUAAAAAUCAAGCUUACCAAGGUAUGAACAGAAAAAAAUUAACAAAUCUUAUUAUGGAUGUGUUAAAAAUUCGAGAUCAUGCCAACAAAAGAUGAAAGGAGGAAGAAAAUUUAUUGCUUUGAUUGCAAGUGGAAGAUAAUCUUACAAAAGAGUUGGUGAUUUGUGGCAUCAUGGUUGAAGAAAAUCAAAAAGUAUCUGAUCAUUGGACCAGUCAAAUUGACUUAUCUCGGAUCUUCAAUCAUGAUGAAACACCACAGUUUGUUAGCUAUGGCGUUAAUGGUUCACCUAGCAGAUUAUUAUAUGGUGGGCGUGGUGAACGCUGUCAAAAAAUGUUUCGGCAUAAUCGUGAAUGUGUUACAAUAAAUCCAAUGUUGUCAUUAUCUGGUACAUUAUACUUAAAGCAGUUUUAAACUUUAAAUUAUUAUUCUAUGCUAUAUAGUACUAGAUAUUGAAACCUAUUUCAUAAAUUUUAUUUUCCAUAUAUAAAGAUAUAGUCAAAAAAUUGUAAAUUUGAAAAUAAAUAUAUUUUACGACAACACAUGUAAUU